rnacentral:rRNA from 1 species
UACGUAGGUGGCAAGCGUUGUCCGGAUUUACUGGGCGUAAAGAGCGCGCAGGCGGUCGUUCAAGUCGCGUGUGAAAGCCCCCGGCUCAACUGGGGAGGGUCACGCGAUACUGAUCGACUCGAAGGCAGGAGAGGGUAGUGGAAUUCCCGGUGUAGUGGUGAAAUGCGUAGAUAUCGGGAGGAACACCAGUGGCGAAGGCGACUACCUGGCCUAAUACUGACACUGAGGCACGAAAGCGUGGGGAGCAAACAGG